AGCCCCGAGCGACAAGCUUACAUCAUAGAUGGACAGAGGCCUUGCCUACCAAGAAAAAGACCGCUAACGUGAUAACCAAAAAACUCCUAGAUGACAUCUUUCCCAGGUAUGGAAUACCCCAGAUAUUGGGGUCAGACAAUGGGCCCGCCUUCGUCUCCCAGCCCUCCAACUGAUGCAAAAGACGGUGUAAAAACCCCUGCCUGCCGGGAGCAACUGAACCGCCCGGUGGUACCUCACCCAUUCAAGAUUGGGGACUCUGUCUGGGUCCGACGCCAUCAAUCUAGGAACCUAGAGCCGAGGUUGACGGGACAGCGGCUUGGGUCCACACGUUGCAUGUAAAGGCUGCCAAGGAACCCGACAAAGCUAAGGACACCGAGACAUCUAGUUCAACGCUCUCCAAACCCACUAAAGAUAAGACUCACCCGGGGGUCCCCUUGAUCCCCCUAAUAGUCCUCCUGACAUAAAGAGGGACAUCACCAGAGAGCCUGUUUCCCUGACGCUGGCCCUGUUACUAAAAAAAAUUACCAU